GUAAUGAUCUGGACACUGUCUCAACCGUGAGCUCAGUGAAAUUGUAGUAUCGGUGAAGAUGCCGAUUACCCGCGAUGGGACGAAAAGACCCCGUGAACCUUUACUAUAGCUUAACAUUGAAUUUGGGUAAUUGAUGUGUAGGAUAGGCCGGAGACUUUGAAGCAGGCACGCCAGUGUUUGUGGAGUCGCUGUUGAAAUACGGCCCUUUGGUUAUUUGAGUUCUAACUCGCUGAUGCGAGGACACUGUUUGGUGGGUAGUUUGACUGGGGUGGUCGCCUCCAAAAGCGUAACGGAGGCUUCUAAAGGUGCCCUCACGCCGAUUGGUAACCGGCGGUAGAGUGUAAUGGCAUAAGGGCGCUUGACUGGGAGACUUACAAGUCGAUCAGGUAGGAAACUAGAGCAUAGUGAUCCGGU
rnacentral:rRNA from 1 species